GACCUCGGAUCAGGUAGGGAUACCCGCUGAACUUAAGCAUAUCAAUAAGCGGAGGAAAAGAAACCAACAGGGAUUGCCCUAGUAACGGCGAGUGAAGCGGCAACAGCUCAAAUUUGAAAUCUGGCUCUCUUUGGGGGUCCGAGUUGUAAUUUGCAGAGGAUGCUUUGGCAUUGGCGGCGGUCUAAGUUCCUUGGAACAGGACAUCGCAGAGGGUGAGAAUCCCGUACGUGGGCGCCUGCCUUUGCCGUGUAAAGCUCCUUCGACGAGUCGAGUUGUUUGGGAAUGCAGCUCUAAAUGGGAGGUAAAUUUCUUCUAAAGCUAAAUACCGGCCAGAGACCGAUAGCGCACAAGUAGAGUGAUCGAAAGAUGAAAAGUACUUUGGAAAGAGAGUCAAAAAGCACGUGAAAUUGUUGAAAGGGAAGCGCUUGCAGCCAGACUUGCCCGCAGUUGCUCACCUAGGCUUUGGCCUGGGGCACUCUUCUGCGGGCAGGCCAGCAUCAGUUUGGGCGGUCGGACAAAGGCCUCUGUCAAGUAUCUCCCUUCGGGGUGACCUUAUAGGGGAGGCGUAAUGCGACCAGCCCGGACUGAGGUCCGCGCAUCUGCUAGGAUGCUGGCGUAAUGGCUGUAAGCGGCCCGUCUUGAA
rnacentral:rRNA from 1 species